GAAAUGCGAUAAGUAGUGUGAAUUGCAGAAUUCCGUGAAUCAUCGAAUCUUUGAACGCACAUUGCGCCCUCUGGCAUUCCGGGGGGCAUGCCUGUCCGAGCGUCAUUACGCACCCUCAAGCCCGGCUUGUGUGAUGGGCCCCGGCGUCUCGUUCGCGAGACGGGCCCGAAAGGCAGCGGCGGCGUCGACCCGAUGAGCCCGAGCGUAUGGGGACUUCUGUCACACGUUCGCGGUGCGGACCGGCGCCUGCUUGACUUUUCUGAUUAUCCAGGUUGACCUCGGAUCAGGUAGGGAUACCCGCUGAACUUAAGC
rnacentral:misc_RNA from 1 species